rnacentral:tRNA from 1 species
UCCCUGGUGGUCCAGUGGUUAGGACUCCGCGUUUCCACUGCAGGGGACCCAGGUUCAAUCCCUGGUCGGGGAA